UUCAGAGCCCAGACCACAGAAGGUAAAGCGCGCGUGCAAGGAGAGAGAGGAGGAGGGAACGUUGUGCCGCGACGCCUGUUAUUCGUCUCGGUUGCAUGUGUGCGCUUCUCCCGUUGCCGUGAGCGUACUCGGUGCGGGGAUUUUCUCCAUCUCCUCCGCGUAUUCGCACCGACCUAGAUACGCUUACCUGCACUCGCUCCAUCGGGUCCACCUCUAUCCGUCUCUCCCCGCCGCACCGAGCGCAGAGCAGCGAAGCGGUGAGAAGAGGGGGGGGUUGCGGCGGAGCGAGGAAGAAAAGGGAGAGGGCAUGGGCAGAUCGGCCUCGUGACUACUCACUGUGUUGCUUGAGCUCAUUACAGACAGACGCGCGCACACACACACAUACACACACACACACCCGCUCGCGUACAUAUGCCAGAUCGGCUCAAGGGCAUUCUCUUGCAUCGAGAGUGCGAAGAUGAGCUGGAGCAUCAGCAGGCGCGCCAGCAUUCUUCAGGCACUUCAAUGCACAGUGCAACGCCGCUUGCGACGGCGGUUGAAAAGUGUAGCGACACCGUCCAAGUCGCCACAGACGAUUCGCUCCCACCUGCGGUUGUGCUCGCCUCGGGAGCUUCCAGGAGCUCUGCCAGCACCACCAGCAUUAAGCAGAGCACGGGCGCUUUAACUUACUCAGUGGCUACGCCACUGAAUCAGGCCCGCUUGGGCCACCUGACUCAUGCUGGCAGUACCGCGGUGCACACCUGCUCUAGUAAGCACCACUAUUGAACACGACUGCCAAGGCUGCGAUCGACGGCGGCAGUGAGCGUAAACGCCGAAUCGUCGCUCUCAAAGACAGCUGCGGCGGUUUCGGCAGAUGCGCAGCGGUCCAACCCAACGGCUACGCCGGCGCCAACCAUGCCCGAGGGAACCAGCGCAUCGCCCCUGGCAGCAUCUCCCUUGACCUCUUCCGCUGCCUUGCCGCCGCCGUCGUCGCCGCCUCUCGCGGAUUCCGCGACGCUGGCGCUGCCGUUCACGCCGUACCCUGUGCAACAGGAGAUGAUCCGCAUGAUCGCCGACGUUCUCCACUCCGCUAGCCCGCACGUCGUGCCGGUGGCUGUCGUGGAGGUACCGACAGGGUGUGGUAAGACUAUGGCGCUGCUAUCCAGCGUUCUGCGGUACCAGCAGGAGCUAAAGCGCAAGAGCCCCAAAGAACUUGAUGCAUAUCUGCGUCAGCGGCGGCCGUCAGGGGAGAAGCGAAAGGCGCCCCCGAAAGGACGUCGGGGUCAGCGAGGUCCACAGCAGCGCGGUGCCGCACGUCUUGCACCAGUCGCGGGCGGCGACAUCGAUGCCAACGAGGGGGACACGGACGACGAGUGCACGGACGGCUGGUCGGUUCCACCAUCGUUCUUCAAGCAUUUUCGGGUCAACUCACAGCGGAAAAUCCGUGCGGAGCUGGACGUGGCCGGAUCGCAAGAGCUGCGCCGUCGCUUCCUGCCGCCGCCCUGCACAGUUUACUACGUCACGCGCACGCACGCGCAGCUUCGGCAGGCGGUGCGUGAGCUGCGCCGGCUGCAUGGUGCGACAAGUGCUAUUCGCAUGAACAUCCUCGGCAGCCGAGAGCGCUACUGCAUCCACCCCAAGGUGAUGGCGUCCAAGGCGAACCACACGUUGCCUGUACAGGGCAACAACCUGGGCGAGGUUUGUGACAAGCUCGUGUCUCUGGGGCUCUGCGAGAUGGUGGACAAGUACGACGAGCUCUCGUGUAGCGCCAUUACGGGGCCGGUCGGACAUCAGCGUGGCCAGAUAUGGGAUAUGGAGGAUCUCGUGCUGGAGGGAACCUCGCGCCACAUGUGCCCCUACUACGCCGCUCGCGACCUGGUCUUCUACGCCGAUGUCAACUUCUGCACCUACCCGUACCUGCUAGACCCGCUCAUUCGCCACGAGACGAAGAUGGAGGCAGCCCUGAAAAACAACGCAGUUGUCGUCUUCGACGAGGCGCACAACGUCGCGGCGGUGUGCCAGGACGCGCUUUCGCUGGAGUGCCCACGAGCCGUGCUGGCUCUCAUCCUGUCAGAGCUCGAGCCCCUCGUGUCGAACCAAGUGCCCCUGGCACGCCAACCAUUGAGUGCGGCUUCUUCCACCGCGGGCGUGGCGCAAGAUGACUUUGCCGCCAUGCAAUAUCCACGAGAGCUGCACCUCGGUGCCUUCACCUUGGAGGAGAUCUUCUCCUUUCUGUGCACCCUCUUCCAGUCUCUCAGCGUCUUCUUCGACGUCGCGAUGGAGGCGGCGGACGAUCGUGAACGGCGAGGUAAAAAGCGCCACCGCGGCGACGAGAAAGGUGAGGGCGACGAACACAACGGCAGGGACUGCGGGGCCGCCUACAUGCAGGGCACUCAGCUCGAGCACCACCUGCGGCGCGAUAUGGAGGCCCACGUCGCGGCAUAUCGGCAGCGCACGGCGGCGCAGCGGCAUUUUGCAGCGCCGGCCCCAGCGCUCGCGUCGCUGGAGCUCUUCCAGCGCGCCUACGGCGUCAUCAUGGCUCUCGGUGUCACAUUCAAUCCGUUUCUCUUCUCUGUUUUCGGCCUCUCGACGCUGAAGCGGUGGCUCCUGCUGCUCCGUUUUCUGCUUCAGAAGCCGCAGUCCUUCGCUGUUGCGGUGCGGUCGGCGCCGCCUUGGGAUGGACUUGCCCAGAGCGGCAGCGACACUGAGCGUUCGCUCUUUGGCGCGCGCUCUGCUGCUGCAGCCGUUGCCGAAGCGCAUCUGGCGGCGGGUGGUGACAGUGGUGCGGCCCGUACCCAUGCGGUCGUUGCGCAGUGGACGAUCGACCUGCGGUGCCUCGACGGAAGCCUUGCCUUCUCGUACCUCCUCAAGACGGUGCACCGUGUCGUGCUGGCCUCCGGCACGCUCUCCCCCUUCCCCCAGCUGGCUCGUGACUUGGGCGUGGAGGCCUCCCUGUGGCGCACGUUGGAGGGCCUGCACGUGGUGCCUCCAACUCAAUACAGCCUAACUGCGCUGACCGCUCUGCCUGUGUCGUCGUCAUCGACACAUGAUGGGACGACGACGCAGCCGCUGCUGUUGCCACUGCGUUGUACGCACGCCUCUCUCUCGAACCCAGUCUUCCUCAAGACGGUGGCACGCGCCGUGGUUCAGCUAACACAGACAUUGCGUGAGAGCAGCGGCGGCGGGGUGCUGCUCUUUGUGCCUAACUACGCCGUUCUAACGGCAUUGGCGAAGCUGACGCGCGAGGUACUGCUUGUGGCGCAGCGGGAGCAGCAGCAUCAAUCGCCGCACGCCGCAGCGCCGACCCAACUGUUUCUGGAGCCGCGCAAGGCCGAGGCGCUGACGGAGGUUCUCUGCCAGUUCCAGAACUGCACGCAGGCGCCUCGCUGCGGCACUGCGCUCUUGUUCUCUGUGUACCGCGGCAAGGUGAGCGAAGGACUCGACUUUACGGACGACAUGGCGCGCCUGGUGCUCUGCCUUGGGCUGCCGCUGCAGCCAUUGAAGUCGUGGAAGGUCAUCGCGCAGCGCGCCUACAGCGGCUCGGAUUGGUAUACAACGGAUGCUGUGCGCGCCGUAAAUCAAGCUCUGGGUCGUUGCCUGCGCCACACGAAGGACUACGGCGCUGUAGUGCUGCUGGACGAGCGGUACGCGCAGCCAGAAUACCAGGAACGGCUGUCGAAGUGGUGCCGUGCAACACUGCAGACAGAGUCGUCGUUGCCGCAACUCUGCGCGGGGCUGCGGACGUCGUUUACGCAAUGGCGUCGGGCGUUCGGUGCACUUGCCAUGAGCACCUCCCCGUUGCCGACUCCCUCAGCGGCAGCGGAUCGUGCGGUGCCCUGGGACGACAUUGGAGGGGUGGCCCACCAGGAUGCGGCGAGUUUAGCACGAACUCGGCUGGGCACGGAGCAGCUUCCUUUUACACGGGUGCUGCGUGCGCCAUCAGCGGCGUGGUGGCCUCAUCGCACUGUUGGCCCCGCAUUGGACGCCACCGCGAGUGAUUCGUCGCCUCAGAGGAGUGGUGCGGCUCGGCUGGCUCGUACGGUUCCCGGCGCUGGCGCUGGUGCUCGGCAAAGUGCCACAGCCGGCGCUGGCCUGCCUCACUCGCCUCUCGCCUGCACUGCUGUGAAGUUGCUGUACGAAACCGCCGCCGCCACUGGCGAUGUCUCGCGGCAGGUCUUGCAGGAUGCCAUUCAAUCUCUGACGAAGAACUUCUUUGACAGCAGCGGCAGUGGGGAGGAGGAGGAGGAGGGGGAGGAUGCUUUUGAAUGAGGAGCGUGAUCAGGACUUGGCCUGUCGCUCUCCACUGCCCCCCCCUCCCCAUCCCCAUCCCUAGCCCCCAACGAGGUCGGGAAAAGAAAGCAUACGACCAUCGGUGCCGUCUUCUGAGGUGUUGCCUCUGCUUC
rnacentral:misc_RNA from 1 species